rnacentral:misc_RNA from 1 species
GAUGAAGAACGUAGCGAAAUGCGAUAACUAAUGUGAAUUGCAGAAUUCAGUGAAUCAUCGAGUCUUUGAACGCACAUCGCGCCCCCUGGUAUUCCGGGGGGCAUGCCUGUCCGAGCGUCAUUGCUGCCCUCAAGCCCGGCUUGUGUGUUGGGCCCCGUCCCCCUCUCCGGGGGACGGGCCCGAAAGGCAGCGGCGGCACCGAGUCCGGUCCUCGAGCGUAUGGGGCUUUGUCACCCGCUCUGUAGGCCCGGCCGGCGCCAGCCGACAACCCAUCAUCCUUUUCAGGUUGACCUCGGAUCAGGUAGGGAUACCCGCUGAACUUAAGCAUAUCAAUAAGCGGAGGA